GAUGAACGCUGGCGGCGUGCCUAAUACAUGCAAGUCGAGCGAACAGACGAGGAGCUUGCUCCUCUGACGUUAGCGGCGGACGGGUGAGUAACACGUGGAUAACCUACCUAUAAGACUGGGAUAACUUCGGGAAACCGGAGCUAAUACCGGAUAAUAUAUUGAACCGCAUGGUUCAAUAGUGAAAGACGGUUUUGCUGUCACUUAUAGAAGGAUACGCGCCGCAUUAGCUAGUUGGUAAGGUAACGGCUUACCAAGGCAACGAUGCGUAGCCGACCUGAGAGGGUGGUCGGCCACACGGGAACUGAGACACGGUCCAGACUCCGACGGGAGGCAGCAGUAGGGAAUCUUCCGCAAUGGGCGAGAGCCUGACGGAGCAACGCCGCGGGAAUGAUGAAGGUCUUCGGAUCGUAAAACUCUGUUAUUAGGGAAGAACAAAUGUGUAAGUAACUAUGCACGUCUUGACGGUACCUAAUCAGAAAGCCACGGCUAACUACGUG
rnacentral:rRNA from 1 species